GGAACGAACGCUGGCGGCAUGCCUAACACAUGCAAGUCGAACGAGACCUUCGGGUCUAGUGGCGCACGGGUGCGUAACGCGUGGGAAUCUGCCCUUGGGUUCGGGAUAACAGUUGGAAACGACUGCUAAUACCGGAUGAUGACUUCGGUCCAAAGAUUUAUCGCCCAGGGAUGAGCCCGCGUCGGAUUAGCUAGUUGGUGAGGUAAAGGCUCACCAAGGCGACGAUCCGUAGCUGGUCUGAGAGGAUGAUCAGCCACACUGGGACUGAGACACGGCCCAGACUCCUACGGGAGGCAGCAGUGGGGAAUAUUGGACAAUGGGCGAAAGCCUGAUCCAGCAAUGCGCGUGAGUGAUGAAGGCUUAGGUGUAAAGCUCUUUACCGGGAUGAUAAUGACAGUACCGGAGAAUAAGCCCGGCUAACUCCGCGCAGCAGCCG
rnacentral:rRNA from 1 species